UCAUGUGGUUCUUUGGGCACCCCAUCGUUCUUUUAAGAGCCUGUAAAAACUCUCUAGUCAUAAGUCAAGACACUUCAGUGGAUAUUAUUUGGUUUCCUUACCCCUGUGCAUUAUUAUGCUACAUUAGAGACAUUUUAUUGGCUGUUAAAUAUUUACAGUGGACAACUGUUACACUCAGUGUAAACUUAACAGGAAAGAUAUCCGUGUUUUUUGAUAGUCGAGUUAUGUGUGCAGACAGUACAGAUUCUGUUUAAAUAAACCUUUAUAUUACAAAA